AAGGGUUCGAGUGAGAGCAUGCCUGUCGGGACCCGAAAGAUGGUGAACUAUGCUUGAGCGGGGCGAAGCCAGAGCAAACUCUGGUGGAGGCCCGCAACGAUACUGACAUGCAAAUCGUUCGUCUGACUUGGGUAUAGCUGGUUCCCUCCGAAGUUUCCCUCAGGAUAGCUGGAGCCCUUAGCGAGUUCUAUCGGGUAAAGCCAAUGA
rnacentral:ncRNA from 1 species